rnacentral:rRNA from 1 species
GACGAACGCUGGCGGCGUGCUUAACACAUGCAAGUCGAACGGAAAGGCCCUGCUUUUGUGGGGUGCUCGAGUGGCGAACGGGUGAGUAACACGUGAGUAACCUGCCCUUGACUUUGGGAUAACUUCAGGAAACUGGGGCUAAUACCGGAUAGGAGCUCCUGCUGGAUGGUGGGGGUGGGAAAGUUUCGGCGGUUGGGGAUGGACUCGCGGCUUAUCAGCUUGUUGGUGGGGUAGUGGCUUACCAAGGCUUUGACGGGUAGCCGGCCUGAGAGGGUGACCGGCCACAUUGGGACUGAGAUACGGCCCAGACUCCUACGGGAGACAGCAGUGGGGAAUAUUGCACAAUGGGCGGAAGCCUGAUGCAGCAACGCCGCGUGCGGGAUGACGGCCUGCGGGUUGUAAACCGCUUUCGCCUGUGACGAAGCGUGAGUGACGGUAAUGGGUAAAGAAGCACCGGCUAACUACGUG